UAAAUGGCACUUCAAGUAGAAGCUCAUGGUAGCGUAUUACGUGAGUUGUGAACACCUAACUUUGCUACAAGACAUCAACUCUGUCUCUCUCAUCAAGAAAUAACAGCUAUAAACUGUUAAAAAUCAAGGAGAUGACAGACAGGAUGCACAGAAGAGGAAAUUUAAUGUAAAGAGAACCUAGCAAGCUUAGUUUGAGGUGUGAGGCGCUUGGGAUACACCUCGCACAUCUCCUGGAAUAAGGCACAAACCAAAUAAGAGGAACUUUUAUGAAAAACAUGCCUAACAGCACGUUGCGCUUCCAUCCC